rnacentral:rRNA from 1 species
UACGGGGGGAGCAAGCGUUGUUCGGAUUUACUGGGCGUAAAGGGCGCGUAGGCGGCCACCGCAAGUCGGUUGUGAAAUCUCUGGGCUUAACCCAGAAAGGUCAACCGAUACUGCGGGGCUAGAGUGCAGAAGGGGCAACUGGAAUUCUCGGUGUAGCGGUGAAAUGCGUAGAUAUCUGGAGGAAUACCGGUGGCGAAGGCGGCAUCCUGGACCGACAUUGACGCUGAUGAGCGAAAGCUAGGGGAGCAAACGGG